rnacentral:rRNA from 1 species
UCGAGAAUCUUCGGCAAUGGGCGCAAGCCUGACCGAGCGACGCCGCGUGCGGGAUGAAGGUCUUCGGGUUGUAAACCGCUGUCAGAGGGAAGGAAAUGCGCGGGGGUUCUCCCCCGAGUUUGACCGAACCUCAGAGGAAGCGCAGGCUAAGUUCGUGCCAGCAGCCGCGGUAACACGAACUGCGCAAACGUUAUUCGGAAUCACUGGGCUUAAAGAGUGCGUAGGCGGCUGGGAAAGUUGGGUGUGAAAUCCCUCGGCUCAACCGAGGAAUUGCGCUCAAAACUACCUGGCUUGAGGGAGACAGAGGUGAGCGGAACUGAUGGUGGAGCGGUGAAAUGCGUUGAUAUCAUCAGGAACACCGGUGGCGAAGGCGGCUCACUGGGUCUCUUCUGACGCUGAGGCACGAAAGCUAGGGGAGCGAACGGGAUUAGAUACCCGGUAGUCCUAGCUGUAAACGAUGAGCACUAGGUCGUGGGACAUACCACAGUCU